rnacentral:rRNA from 1 species
UACGGAGGGUGCGAGCGUUGUCCGGAAUCACUGGGCGUAAAGGGCGCAUAGGCGGCAGGCCAAGCGUGCGGUGAAAGUCCGGGGCUCAACCCCGGAUCUGCCGUGCGGACUGGUUUGCUAGAGCACUGUAGAGGCGAGUGGAAUUCCGGGUGUAGCGGUGGAAUGCGUAGAGAUCCGGAAGAACACCGGUGGCGAAGGCGGCUCGCUGGGCAGUGGCUGACGCUGAGGCACGAAAGCGUGGGGAGCGAACAGG